rnacentral:misc_RNA from 1 species
GUAAUUUUAGGGCACCUGACAGCGCCAUUUCCUUCCUCCCUCCUCCUCUGUCGAAGCUUGGAUUUCUAGGCACGGUGCACAGGGGCGAAGCUUGGAUUUCUAGGCAUGGCGCACAGCGGCAGCGCCUCCUUGUCCGUGGUGUAGUCGGUGGCGACGGUGGGCGCCGAGGAGGCGGCGACGUUGAUGUUGAAGCCGGUGGCGGCCGUCGGGGACAAGGAUGCUGGCAUCGCUGGCCUGAACAGCAAGACGCACAUGAAGAUCCUACUGAAAUGGAUGACGGGGAGAAAUGUCGUGAAGCUGACCUGCGUGCACGUGGGCAACGCGAAGAAGUCCUCUACUCCCGGUCCACUGAAAGCAGCAGCAGCGCCGGCGCAUCACCGUCAUCCACAUCGGCCUCGCAGUGACGGUCAGUCGCCGUUAAGCCUUGGUGUGGUUCUUGAUGUUGCUUUGUAGAUCGAUGGAGGCUGCCUCCGGUCAUGGUGAUCCCAUGUUUAACCUUGAUGACGAACAUUGGAAAAAGCAUUUUGUUUUAUGGACUGGAAUAGUCUGCAAACAUCACGAUAGCAAUAUUGUUCUGCUGCUCAUCAGCUGAGGAUGCUGCCCUGUCCUGAACUCCUGAUUUUGCUUUUGAUCUACUAUGUGAUGAUUUGCUC